AUACGUAGGAACCGAGCGUUGUCCGGAUUUACUGGGCGUAAAGGGCGCGUAGGCGGCCCAUCAAGUCUCAUGUGAAAUCUCCCGGCUUAACUGGGAGGGGUCAUGGGAAACUGGUAGGCUCGAGGGCAGUAGAGGAAAGUGGAAUUCCCGGAGUAGUGGUGAUAUGCGUAGAUACCGGGAGGAACACCAGAGGCGAAGGCGGCUUUCUGGACUGUACCUGACGCUGAGGUGCGAGAGCAUGGGGAGCAAACAGGAUUAGAUACCCUAGUAGUCC
rnacentral:rRNA from 1 species